UAGGGGGCGAGCGUUGUCCGGAAUGACUGGGCGUAAAGGGUGUGUAGGCGGUUUGUUAAGUUAGAAGUGUAAUACCCAGAGCUUAACUUGGGUGCUGCUUCUAAUACUGACGGACUUGAGUGUAGGAGAGGAUGAUGGAAUUCCCAGUGUAGCGGUGGAAUGCAUAGAUAUUGGGAGGAACACCAGAGGCGAAAGCGAUCAUCUGGACUACAACUGACGCUGAGGCACGAAAGCGUGGGGAGCAAA
rnacentral:rRNA from 1 species